rnacentral:lncRNA from 1 species
GAUUGUUGUCGGAUAAAGAGAAAAGCAUAUGUUUCUAUUGAUGCAAUAGAUAUUGGUACCGAGUGAAUAUUGGAUCCCGUUUAGAGUUGGAUCAAAUCAAAAGGAGAAAGAAAAGCAAUAAAAAGUUGAUUGGCAAACGUCGUUUUUUUGCUGGAGUUAAGGAUUAAACAAAUUUAUUUUCUUUCCUCUAAACAGAUCAAGUGCCAGAAUAGAGAAUUGGCUAAGUAUGGCAUGUUUUGCAUCUUAUCUUUAGGAUUUGAGGUCCUACAUCCAAAAAAAAUAUGUGACAAAAUCU